CCUACGGGUGGCAGCAGUGGGGAAUAUUGCGCAAUGGGGGCAACCCUGAUGCAGCAACGCCGCGUGAUUGAAGAAGUAUUUCGGGUUGUAAAGCUCUAUCAUCAGGGACGAAAAUUACCGGUACUGGUAAAAUAAGCCCCGCCAAACUACGUCCCAGCAGCGGCGGUAAUACGUAGGGAGCAAGGGUUACCCGGAUUAACUGGGUGUAAGGGGCGGGUAGGCGGGGGUGUAAGUCAGAAGUGAAUUCUGGGGGCUUAACCCCCAAACUGCUUUUGAAACUGCGGGCCUUGAGUGAAGGAGAGGUAGGCGGAAUUCCCAGUGUAGCGGUGAAAUGCGUAGAUAUUAGGAGGAACACCAGUGGCGAAGGCGGCCUGCUGGACAUUAACUGACGCUGAGGCGCGAAAGCGUGGGGAGCAAACAGGAUUAGAUACCCGAGUAGUC
rnacentral:rRNA from 1 species